CAAAAAAAUAAAAAAAAUAUAUCAAGAGGUGGUACUAUUGUCCCUGAAAUGAACCUCAAUGGCCUCAAGCUCCACAGACUCCACAGUUUUUGCUAAUUCAGGGUUUCAAUGCAAAUGAUCUGAUGUUCGUUCCAUAUUUAAACAACUACACUGUUGAGUGGAGGACUCAUCACCAGUUCAGCCUUGACAUAAAUCAUGUUCACUUCAUAUCUCUUGCUGUUGCUGGGCGCAGUGUCUGGUAUUGACUCUCAGGUUGUGCUCACACAGUCUGAACAGUCAGUAGUUGUGACUCCAGGUGGUUCCCGCAAACUGACCUGUGCCUGCAGUGGAUUCACUCUUAGUAGCUAUACUAUGCAUUGGAUCCGUCAGGCACCUGGAAAAGGACUUGAAUGGAUUAUGUAUUAUUAUUCAGAUUCUUCUAAGAGCUCAGCUCAGUCAGUUCAGGGCAGGUUCACAGCAUCUAAGGACAGCUCUAAUUUCUAUCUGCACAUGAAUCAGCUGAAGACUGAAGACACUGCGGUGUAUUACUGUGCAAGAGAGACACUGUGGAAACACUAAUACAGACAGCUGUUCA